rnacentral:rRNA from 1 species
GGGAUCUUGAGAGCGGCGUACGGGUGCGGAACACGUGUGCAACCUGCCUUCUGGGGGAUAGCCUUUCGAAAGGAAGAUUAAUACCCCAUAAUAUAUUUUUCGGCAUCGAAAGAUAUUGAAAACUCCGGUGGAUAGAGAUGGGCACGCGCAAGAUUAGAUAGUUGGUGAGGUAACGGCUCACCAAGUCUGCGAUCUUUAGGGGGCCUGAGAGGGUGAUCCCCCACACUGGUACUGAGACACGGACCAGACUCCUACGGGAGGCAGCAGUGAGGAAUAUUGGACAAUGGGUGAGAGCCUGAUCCAGCCAUCCCGCGUGAAGGACGACGGCCCUAUGGGUUGUAAACUUCUUUUGUAUAGGGAUAAACCUACCCUCGUGAGGGUAGCUGAAGGUACUAUACGAAUAAGCACCGGCUAACUCCGUGCCAGCAGCCGCGGUAAUACGGAGGGUGCAAGCGUUAUCCGGAUUUAUUGGGUUUAAAGGGUCCGUAGGCGGAUCUGUAAGCAUGUGGUGAAAUCUCACAGCCAUACUGUGAAACUGCCAUUGAUACUGCAGGUCUUGAGUGUUGUUGAAGUAGCUGGAAUAAGUAGUGUAGCGGUGAAAUGCAUAGAUAUUACUUAGAACACCAAUUGCGAAGGCAGGCAUCAUAGCAACAACUGACGCUGAUGGACGAAAGCGUGGGGAGCGAACAGGAUUAGAUACCCUGGUAGUCCACGCCGUAANCGAUGCUAACUCGUUUUUGGGUUUUCGGAUCAUGAGACUAAGCGAAAGUGAUAAGUUAGCCACCUGGGGAGUACGAACGCAAGUUUGAAACUCAANGGAAUUGACGGGGGCCCGCACAAGCGGUGGAUUAUGUGGUUUAAUUCGAUGAUACGCGAGGAACCUUACCAAGGCCAUAAUGGGAAAUGACAGGUUUAGAAAUAGACUUUUCUUCGGACAUUUUUCAAGGUGCUGCAUGGUUGUCGUCAGCUCGUGCCGUGAGGUGUUAGGCAUAGUCCUGCAACGAGCGCAACC